GAUGAACGCUAGCUACAGGCUUAACACAUGCAAGUCGAGGGGAAACGACAUUGAAGCUUGCUUCGAUGGUCGUCGACCGGCGCACGGGUGAGUAACGCGUAUCCAACCUGCCUCUGACCAAGGGAUAACCCGUCGAAAGUCGGCCUAAUACCUUAUGCAGUCGUCGGAAGUCAUCUGAUGACGACGAAAGAUUUCAUCGGUGAGAGAUGGGGAUGCGUCUGAUUAGCUUGUUGGCGGGGUAACGGCCCACCAAGGCAACGAUCAGUAGGGGUUCUGAGAGGAAGGUCCACCACAUCGGAACUGAGACACGGUCCACACUGCUACGGGAGGGAGCAGUGAGGAAUAUUGGUCAAUGGGCGAGAGCCUGAACCAGCCAAGUAGCGUGCAGGAUGACGGCCCUAUGGGUUGUAAACUGCUUUUAUGCGGGGAUAAAGUGAGGGACGUGUCCUUCAUUGAAGGUACCGAAUGAAUAAGGACCGGCUAAUUCCGUG
rnacentral:rRNA from 1 species